GAAGUAGGAAGUAAAUCUGCCACGUGUGGUUGGAAGACAAUUAGAAGGUGAAUGGUGGUCAAAGAAAUUGUGGGAACAGGCCGUCUUUCAGCUAACAUCUUGCUGGUCGAGGUCAAAUGGAGAGUCCAGUCACGUCAGUCGAAUUCCACAGAGGUCUCCUUUCUGCAUCCCUCCUCAGACUGUCCAUGUAUGUUGGUGUGAGACGUCUUCUAGUAGAGGGAUCUGCUGCUGAUUGAAAUGAAUCAUCCCGAUAUCACAGCUCCUUACAACUCGAUCCUGGGGACAGAUGGAGCAGUCAUCUGAGAGGACACUUUCUCUAAUCCUUGCUUCACUCGUGUGCUUUGGCAUUCUGGGGUGUUGCACAGAGGAGGGAGCGAGAGAAGGGGGAGAAAGCGGAUGGCCCAUGACCCUGUGGGCUUUCAAAGGCACAUGGAAAGGCACACUGGAAACGUCUUGCAAAACACACAUUAGUCCAAGAGGCAUUUUGCCAGGGAACCCUGAUUUCAUGGUGGACAGAUGAGAAUGUUUCAAAAAAUGACACAAAGGUGUGAAGGGGAAUGUUUUCUUAGUCUUCCAUCGCAAGUGGUUUGUUGUUGGUGUCGAAAGGUCAACUUGUCAGACCUCGUCGUCCGAUCCUGCCUUUGACCCCUUCUCACCUUUUCUAUGGGCUCCAGUUUCACAGAACCAGAAAAUACCAGGUAAAUACAUUCUGAUAAAUACACGUUUUUAAAAAAAAAGUGGUAAUUGUUUUAAUUCUGUAAAGCACUUUGUGUUGCAUGUCUUUGCAGGAAAAGUGCUAUACAAAUAAAGUUGAUUUGAUUUGAUCAUGCCACAGUAUUGCAGCACUGUCAAAGAUACGGCCCGCUAUACGUUGUGGUCAAAAUGCUUUGGAAGACAUGCUAGCAUACAUUUAAUACUGAUAUCAUCACACUUUUAGACUCAUUAGCUAACUAGUCUAAUACUUAAGUAUUACUAUUACUUAAGUAAAAAGUAGUUGCCAGUAAAUGGUACAUGGUAAAAUACGGGCCGCUUGGUCUGCCCUGCAGAGGAUAAUCCACCCGAGAGGACCAUGUUUUUUUUUUUUUUUAUUAUAUUUUGCUUGUGUGUGCAUGAGCAUGCCUGUCUAGGCUGGCGUAAAAGUUCCCUCCUAUUUCACUUAAAUAUAUCAUAUAGCAGACAUUUUUUGGAUUUGAAUACCUUUUAACACUAAUUAUUGGAACACAAAAUUUGCAUACACAAGUGAAGCCAAUCAUUAGAGAGGAUAUUUAAGGUGGCCAAUCGCAAGUUGCAUUAUCUCUGAAGAGUAGCACCAUGGUAGCCUCAAAACAACUGUCAAAUGACCUGAAAUCAAAUAUUGUUCAACAUCAUGGUUUAGGGGAAGGAUACACAAAGCUAGCUCAGAGAUUUCAACUGUCAGCUUCCAGUGACUAAAUGGGAAACCACAGGCACAGUUCUAGUUAAGACCCGAAAUGGCAGGCCAAUGGUCAAAAAUAUCUUUGAUUUUGUUUAAAUAAUUAUUGCACACUUUAUGUAAAUCUGAUAAACUUCAUUUAACUUCUCAUCUAUUACUGUGUUCGUCUGCUAUAUGAAAUAUUUAACUGAAAUCGCUGAUCCUAACAACCAGUGAUUUACUAAGGAAAAUCUGAAAUUAUCAGGGGUGCUGCCCAAACAUUUUCACACCACUGUAAAUAGAAUUGUGCUCAUGUGUGUUGCAAUGUGUGGAGGACAGGAAGUAAUGCCACGGGUUCAAAGUUGAGUUUUAACCUGGCAUGGGUUUUGACCGCCACCAAUUUUGCACAGUUGAGGCUUAAACCUUAAACUACUUGCACUGGAUAGAUGUCCCUUUUUAGCAUUGUCAUGUUUUAAGUGAAGCAUGUUGAUGGAUGUCCAGUCUUAGUUGUGCAGGCACAAUGUCUCCAUUGUUGAAUAAAUCUGUUAAAUAUUCUUUGUGCUUGAGUGGCUGAAUACAAAGAAAGUCGGAGUUCUCUGUGUUGACUGACAGAAUCUGUGGCACAUAAAUGAUUUACUCAGCCUUUAAUUUCAGGGCAGGGCAUACAUAUCAGUGGAUGUCAACAUUGGGGCUUGAAAAUAAGGGACAUUUUCUGAUCAUCAAUGUUGCAACAUUUUCUUUGACUUAAAUAUUUUUUUUCAUUUCACAUGGCUUUUUUUCACCCCACUUCAUUUCAUUGCUUUUUACAUAAAGUCAUCAUGUGGAUCUCUGGCAUUCCCAAGCAAAUGUACCCAACACAUGUAAUGUGGGUAUCGUUUACAUAUUGUAUGAUAUUGGUACGUUUGAAAUGAUGCCAGGGACCCAUUAUGCUUGUCCCCCUUUUCUGACCUAUAAAUGUUGUAUUCCCAUGUUAAAUGAUGCCUCCAUCCAUCCAUUUUCCUCCGCUUAUCCGGGUCGCGGGGCCAGCAGUCUCAGUAGGGAAGCCCAGACUUCCCGGUCCCCGGCCACCUCCUCCAGCUCCACCGGGAGGACACCAAGGCGUUCCCAGGCCAGCUGUGAGACACAAUCCCUUGAGCGUGUCCUAGGUCUGCCCCGGGGCCUUUUUCUGGCUGGGCAUGCCCGGAACACCUCACCAAGGAGGCGUCCAGCAGGCAUUGUAAACGAUGCCUAAGUUUCAGAUAAUGAGUUUUGCGCAUUUGGAAGUGAGAAGUGAAAGAAGUUUGGGAUGGCUCAAAAAGCAUGGUAAAACCGCCCCUUUCUGAUGUCACAGAGGGGCUGACUUCCUUAUAUGCGGGUGGCUGUAAGCUCUCAGCCCCCAAGCUCUACUAUUCUGUUUAUGACACAAGCUCAGGUAGAAGUCAGUAUUUGGUGAUUCCCAGCAAGAGAAAAAUAUUUCAAUGAAUGUGAAAUAUCCGUCAAACUGUUGCUGGAGCCGGAUGCUGUGCCUCGACGCAGAGGAAACCGGAGAAUCGAACUCAGGUCUUCCCGAUCCCCUUACUGUGUGGCCACCGUGGACCAUUUUCAUUUUUGUUCUUGUUCCAGAUUCUACGUAUAUGUAUGCUUCCAAGAAUGCAUUCAAGGUGUUUGCACACUUUGAUUGCAUGGCCAUGCAACCAUCUACACUUGCUCAUACAGACACACACAACACAACACAACCCCAUUGAUAAGGCAAGACAUUCCACGAAGUAACCAUGACAAUCCUGACGCGAAUCGAGAAAUCACCAAGAGUUUGCAGUGGAAUCAAAAAAAUCACAGGGUGGCUACUUUGAGGAAUCUAAAAUAUAUUCAGAGUUAUUCCACACUUUUGUUAAGUACAUUCAUAAUUUUGAGAAUCUACAAUGCAAAUGGACACAUUGAUUGAGAAGGUGCGUCCAAACUUUUGGCCUGCACUGUAUGUUUUCAAGAAGCGAGAGCAUUCUGAUCCACUAUUAAACCUGCAUGAUGUUAAGUGUUUUCCCUCAAGCGGACGUUCAAACAGCCAAUAACCAACUGUUACCCACUUAUUAAAACAGCAUUAAACUUGAAUAACUAAUAACAAGCUCUUCUAGACCAGUGCACACGUAAAUGAUCAUUUUCAUAAUUGGAUUAUACCUCCCACAUUCAAGGCAGUGGGGAGGAAACCACGCUGGAUGCUUGUAGAUUUCCAUCUCAUUAAGGCCCUUAAACAAGGAUGCUUGUAAGGAAUUCUUCAUUUUAUGGAGACAGUAAAUCUAUCUUCAAAAUACAGAAAUAAGCACUCUUG